CCAAAAACCGGUAUUAUUUAUUAACGAAUGGCGAUAUCUCUUAUACUACGAUUUAUAUUGGUAUUAUUUUCCUAUGUGUCACUUAUCAUUCAAUCCACCUGCAUUUCUCUGUAAUUACGUAAAACUGUAAUAUAUCCUGUUGAGUGUGCUGGAUUUUCCCCUCAGCAGCCAGAUGACAAGAAUCUGACCAAACGCGUCAGGACAGUGCUAUCGCUUCUCAAUGCGGAAACUAAGUGUUUAAAUAUCUCUAACAUGAUUUCACUCGACCUACUUUGAAGAAAACCAGCCGUCACGGUUCCGUCUCGCGCGGCUUCUGGAAUGAUCGUGUCUGCUGCUUCUUUCAGAUCGCGGACCUUCAGGCGCUGCACUGCUGCUCACGCCAGAUAACCAGUAGCGCUCUGGCAUCUGGCCAGGUGGAGAGCCGUGGUCCGAUCUCUCAUGCCCCCAACAGCCCCGCAGGAAUGGAGAGCAGUCAACCAAUCACCAUCACAGACCCGGUUACACGGCGGAAGAAGAAACGCAGAACUCGGGCCGCAGACAGUUUCACUGGCAAAUUUAGUGGUACUAAACCAUCUUGAACUUUACAAAAGCUCUUAUUAAUCCU
rnacentral:lncRNA from 1 species